AAUUAUGGUGGCUCAGGCGGGGCACUCUUUAUGGGUGGCCGGUAUCAGUAAGGCCGGUUUGUGACCCCCGUCUGGGCUACCACCCUA
rnacentral:antisense_RNA from 1 species